UACGGAGGGUGCAAGCGUUAAUCGGAAUUACUGGGCGUAAAGCGUGCGCAGGCGGUUUUGUAAGUCUGACGUGAAAUCCCCGGGCUCAACCUGGGAAUUGCGUUGGAGACUGCAAGGCUGGAGUCUGGCAGAGGGGGGUAGAAUUCCACGUGUAGCAGUGAAAUGCGUAGAGAUGUGGAGGAACACCGAUGGCGAAGGCAGCCCCCUGGGUCAAGACUGACGCUCAUGCACGAAAGCGUGGGGAGCAAACAGG
rnacentral:rRNA from 1 species